UCAAGAGUUAGUUUAUUUAAAAUAUUGAUUUUGGGGAUCAGCGAUGGGGUUACCUAUUCUUGAA
rnacentral:tRNA from 1 species